ACGCUCGACACCUACGGGAGGCAGCAGUGAGGAAUAUUGGUCAAUGGGCGCUAGCCUGAACCAGCCAAGUAGCGUGAAGGAUGAAGGCUCUAUGGGUCGUAAACUUCUUUUAUAUAAGAAUAAAGUGCAGUAUGUAUACUGUUUUGUAUGUAUUAUAUGAAUAAGGAUCGGCUAACUCCGUGCCAGCAGCCGCGGUAAUCUGAGCGGGCUGGCAAGGC
rnacentral:rRNA from 1 species